rnacentral:lncRNA from 10 species
CUAAAAGCAAACCCAAAUUUUCAUCAACCAAUAAAAAUAUAAACAAAUUAUGAUACACCAAUACAGCAGAAUACUACUCCAGAGAAUAAAAAUGAAUGAAUAAUUGAUACACACAGCAUCAUGAAUGAAUCUCAAAAUAAUUACACUGAGUAAAAGAAACCAGAAGCCUAGUAAAGUCAAUUCCUGUAGUCCCAGCUACUUGAAGGCUGAGGCAGGGGGAUUGCUUGAAUCCAGGAAUUCUGGGAUGCACUAUGCCAAUAGGGUGACCUCCUGGGAGUGCGAGACCACCAGGUUGUCUAAGGAGGGGUGAACUGGACCAGGUCAGAAACAGGGCAGGUCAAAACUCCUGUGCUGAUUAGCAGUAGGAUUGCAUCUGUGAAUAGCCAUUGCACUCCAGCCUGGGAAACGUAGUGAGACCCUGCUUCUUAAAGAAAAAAGCAGCAGCGGAAGAAGAAGACACCACAGCCACCCGACAAAAAGAAUGUCAUUUAUGUAAAAUUCUAGAAAAUGGAAAUGAAUUGAUAGUGAUCAAAAGCAGAUAAGUGGCUGCCUGGGACCAGGAGGCCAGAGAAAAAACAAAGGGAGAAAUUUUCAAGGAGCAUAUGGAAACUUUUUGGGGUAAUGUCUAUUUUUGUGAUCUUGAUUGGAGUAGUAAUUUGAUG